UACCAGCACCCCGAGUGGUCGGGACGUUUAUUGGGCCUAAAGCAUCCGUAGCCGGUUCUGCAAGUCUUCCGUUAAAUCCACCUGCUUAACAGAUGGGCCGCGGAAGAUACUAUAGAGCUAGGAGGCGGGAGAGGCAAGCGGUACUUAGUGGGUGGGGGUAAAAUCCGUUGAUCCAUUGAAGACCACCAGUGGCGAAGGCGGCUUGCCAGAACGCACUCGACGGUGAGGGAUGAAAGCUGGGGGAGCAAACCGG
rnacentral:rRNA from 1 species